rnacentral:lncRNA from 1 species
CUCCGCGUGUGUGAGUACCGCGGCGCGAGGUUAGUGGUAGCUGGGUGCAGACGCCGUGGCGCUGGAGACCCAAACAUGGCAAACCUGGAAGAAAGCUUCCCCCGAGGAGGUACAAGAAAGAUCCACAAACCAGAGAAAGCUUUCCAGCAGUCAGUUGAACAAGACAACUUAUUUGAUAUUUCUACUGAAGAGGGAUCCACCAAAAGAAAAAAGAGCCAGAAGGGGCCAGCAAAAACAAAAAAGUUGAAAAUCGAAAAGAGAGAAAGCAGCAAGUCCGCAAGAGAGAAGUUUGAAAUCCUUAGUGUUGAGACGGAGUCUCGCACAGUCGCCCAGGCUGGAGUGCCGUGGUGCCAUCUCUGCUCUGCUCACUGCAAGCUCCGCCUCCCGGGUUCUCGCCAUUCUCCUGCCUCAGCCUCC